GGGAGGCAGCAGUGAGGAAUAUUGCGCAAUGGGGGAAACCCUGACGCAGCGACGCCGCGUGAGUGAGGAAGGCCUUCGGGUCGUAAAGCUCUGUCAAGAGGAAAGAAGUGUAUAGCGGUUAAUACCCGUUAUACUUGACGGUACCUCUAAAGGAAGCACCGGCUAACUCCGUGCCAGCAGCCGCGGUAAUACGGAGGGUGCAAGCGUUGUUCGGAAUCACUGGGCGUAAAGGGCGCGUAGGCGGUUUGAUAAGUCAGAUGUGAAAGCCCACGGCUUAACUGUGGAAGUGCAUUUGAAACUGUCAGACUUGAGUACCAGAGGGGAAAGUGGAAUUCCCGGUGUAGAGGUGAAAUUCGUAGAUAUCGGGAGGAAUACCGGUGGCGAAGGCGACUUUCUGGCUGGAUACUGACGCUGAGGCGCGAAAGCGUGGGGAGCAAACAGGAUUAGAUACCCCAGUAGUC
rnacentral:rRNA from 1 species